CCCCAGUCCAAACUGACCAAAAGGCAUUGGUUACGGCUCUUCAAACAACCUGCAGUCUGUGCUGUGAUUGUUACGCACCUUUGCGCAGCGAGCACUUUCUUCACUCUUUUGUCAUGGCUGCCAACAUUCUUUAAAGACACUUUCACAGAUGCCAAGGGCUGGGUGUUUAACGUCAUUCCUUGGUUUGUUGCCAUUCCCUCAUCCCUCCUCAGCGGCUGCCUGUCCAACCACCUCAUCGGCCAAGGUAGAGAAACCAAGGAAUUCUUUUUAAAUCUAGUUUAUUAUUGACAAAGCAGUGAUAUAAUUUCCUGUUGUAAUUUCUGUCUUGAUCCCCUUCAGGCUUCGAUACAGCCUCCGUGAGGAAGUUGAUGCAGGUACAAUAUUUGACAGUUGCUUCAUUAUUUUGUUUAGUCUUUCUGUAGAUUUCCUUCUACUCACACAGUGUGAAUGUUCUUUCCUCUUUACACUUUCACAUAAUGCAGAUAUUGUUUUUAUGUGGUUUUGUGUGCACAUAUUCCUCUCUCUGUUUUUCUCCAUGGGUGUGUCCAGUGCGUUUACCCUUCUUCUAUGUAACAACCCCACCUUUCCCUGAGCUGUAGCAUUUGUGUCCACCACCAUGGGCCUCACCACCUUCAGUCACAGAUACUGGCACCUACAGUGUUCUCGUAUUCUGUCACUGCCCCUGAAAACAACAUUUCUUAUGCUUGUUGUUGUAGCUGUGAUUGUUGCACUUGGUCGCAAGGAUGAACUAAGUAGAUGUCGGUGGUCAAAGGCCAAGGUCACAGUGACGUCAUGUCUGUCCCAUUCCCAUGAAUUUGAUUGGUUAUGGAGGCAUACCCCCACAAAGUGCUAAUUCUAGUUAGAUUUAAAUGUGGGGUUCCCCAAGGGUCAGUGUAGCAGCAAAGCCUAAAGUUAAAUGUUUUCCAUAACCAUGGUUCCAUAAAUCCAACACAUCAUAUUAUGUGGCAUGGUGUUGUAAAGCGUGGAGUGGAGCAGAGUGCAGCGAUCAAAAACCGUUUGCAUCCUCCAUCUAGCAACACCUGCCACCCGACUGAUGGUUCCUACCAACAGCAUAUUGCAUCUAACCCCUGCACAAAGUGACACCUACUGGUCUCCAUAGUGACUUUACAUUAUAAAUGGCUCCUACAGGUUAGUGUGUCAGUUUUGUUUUGUGUGCUCCCUAAUGGUGAUGACAAUACAUUCAUUUCCAUUACAAUGCAGAGAGCACCACAUAGUAGUAAAUAUCCCACCAUAUUUUCCAGAGAACAAGAUACGAUGUGGCUCAUACAGCUCGGCUGAUAUUAGACCUGCAGUUAAAAAGUGUGGUGUGCUGUUUAACUUUGUGUUUUUGCAGUCUUUGCUUUAAUUAAGGAACCUUAAUUUAUUAUCCUUUAUUUGUCCUGUAAAAUGUAAUGCCUGCUAAAAUUUGGUGAUUGGGUGCUUACAUUCUUAAUAACGCUAUUUAAGUUUCAAAAGCAGUGUUUUCAGCAAAAGAAAGUAAACCGUGCUUUUGCUAUGGGCUACUGAGUUAUUUACACAGCAGGACAGUGGAUGUGGAAUUGAAACAUAAUCACACGUUUGAAGAAAUAGGCUUAAAAUAGUUUUUUUUUGUUUUUUUUAUGUAUUUUCACUGUGUUAUUUUAAAGGUCCUCUAUAGUUAUAUUAGAAAUACUGCAGUAAUAGUUGUAUAGCACUAGGAUUUUAUACUUUCACGUUUCAACAUUUAAAAUAUGAUAACAGUGUUGUAAAAUGAUAUAAAUCGCAAAAUUUGAGAUCAGCUACUGUGUUUCACAAAUACUAAAAAAAAAAGAGAGACCAUUUUCAAAAGAACAAUAAAAAUAAAAUAUAAGUCUCCACUAAUUAACUGGACCCAGUUAGUGUGUGUGAAGCUAAAUGUGCAUAUUUAUCACACAGGCCAUUAAUGUAAACACAUUACAAAGUGAAUGUGGUACAUUUGUCUGGUAUUAUGUUGUUUUUACUGCCAACAAUUGCCAUGAAAUGUCCAAAACCUACAGUGGGUUAGUCUAUUUCUUAACUUUCCAACUUCAAGUAGGGUGUGUAUUUCAGCCCCAAGCCUUGUUGUUGCUACUGAGGGGUUCUUUUAAAAUCAGAAUCAGAAUCAGCUUUAUUGGCCAAGUGUGUUGGACACAUGAGGAAUUUGA